CACCUCCUAACAACAUAUUUAGUCUUACAAAUUAUCCCCAAUUGACCACCGAUUGAAAGAGAAAGCAAAAAGGAAAAGAGAGAAGCAGAAACAAGGAGCUGAAAUUGAAUUUCUGGAUAGGUGAUUUUCCGACGUUGAGUGAAAAAGGAAAGUGAUAUAAUCUCCGUAGGAGCUUGUGCACACACAAGGGCAAAAAGGUGAGCAUGGAACUAUGUAGAGGGCACGGCUAGCUGUGGAGCUCUUACGGGAUUCCAAAGAUCAAUGUACAUGGAUGACGACCUGUAGGGUUAUUUUGUGGGCUAUUGUUUUGAGCUUACACUGUAAUACUACGAAAAUUUAAAUUCCUUUAAGAUGGCGAUUUAACUUUCAAUGCUAUUUUUGGCCAUAAGAAAAGGGGAC